GCUCUGUCUGGCCCAUUUUUAUUGGCAAUAGUUGCUUUAUAUCCACGUGUAAGGAACUGAAAUUACCUCUGCUUUUGAUAAAAAUAAAUUGUCUUUCUCUUUGCAAAGUAUAAUCAUCUCUCAUCCCUUUCUCUUUUCAUCUUGAAACGGCAUAUGGCAAGAUGUAAGCACAAGGGUGGACAAGCAGAUGGAAAAAAAUAGCAUGUUCUCGGGGUCACUAGAAACCUUGUGGAUGCUUCAACUGUGUCAAAUGCACAAGCAGUGCAGAGAAGAACAAGGUAAACGUUCUGUAGCACAAUGUAAUUAUAGAAAACUUUAGUAUUUAGGAUAGAAAGGCGACUGGUCCAUAUAUGUUCAAAGUUUUCUUAUUUUGCAUAAACCACUUUAAGUGUUUUCAA